rnacentral:misc_RNA from 1 species
UCGUAACAAGGUUUCCGUAGGUGAACCUGCGGAAGGAUCAUUACCGAGUGAGGGCCCUCUGGGUCCAACCUCCCACCCGUGUCUAUCGUACCUUGUUGCUUCGGCGGGCCCGCCGUUUCGACGGCCGCCGGGGAGGCCUUGCGCCCCCGGGCCCGCGCCCGCCGAAGACCCCAACAUGAACGCUGUUCUGAAAGUAUGCAGUCUGAGUUGAUUAUCGUAAUCAGUUAAAACUUUCAACAACGGAUCUCUUGGUUCCGGCAUCGAUGAAGAACGCAGCGAAAUGCGAUAAGUAAUGUGAAUUGCAGAAUUCAGUGAAUCAUCGAGUCUUUGAACGCACAUUGCGCCCCCUGGUAUUCCGGGGGGCAUGCCUGUCCGAGCGUCAUUGCUGCCCUCAAGCACGGCUUGUGUGUUGGGCCCCCGUCCCCCUCUCCCGGGGGACGGGCCCGAAAGGCAGCGGCGGCACCGCGUCCGGUCCUCGAGCGUAUGGGGCUUUGUCACCUGCUCUGUAGGCCCGGCCGGCGCCAGCCGACACCCAACUUUAUUUUUCUAAGGUUGACCUCGGAUCAGGUAGGGAUACCCGCUGAACUUAAGCAU